UACGGAGGGUGCAAGCGUUGCUCGGAAUUAUUGGGCGUAAAGGGUAGGUAGGUGGUCUCAUUUGUCUGGGGUGAAAGCCUUGAGCUUAACUCAAGAAGUGCCCCAGAAACGGUGAGACUGGAGUCCUGGAGAGGGUCGUGGAAUUCCUGGUGUAGCGGUGAAAUGCGCAGAUAUCAGGAGGAACACCGGUGGCGAAGGCGGUGGUCUGGGCCGGCACUGACGCUGAGGAGCGAAAGCGUGGGGAGCGAACAGG
rnacentral:rRNA from 1 species